GUGGGGAAUCUUAGACAAUGGGCGCAAGCCUGAUCUAGCCAUGCCGCGUGAGCGAUGAAGGCCUUAGGGUUGUAAAGCUCUUUCGUGGGGGAAGAUAAUGACUGUACCCCAAGAAGAAGCCCCGGCUAACUCCGUGCCAGCAGCCGCGGUAAUACGGAGGGGGCUAGCGUUGUUCGGAAUUACUGGGCGUAAAGCGCACGUAGGCGGACUGGAAAGUCAGGGGUGAAAUCCCGGGGCUCAACCCCGGAACUGCCUUUGAAACUCCCAGUCUUGAGUUCGAGAGAGGUGAGUGGAAUUCCGAGUGUAGAGGUGAAAUUCGUAGAUAUUCGGAGGAACACCAGUGGCGAAGGCGGCUCACUGGCUCGAUACUGACGCUGAGGUGCGAAAGCGUGGGGAGCAAACAGGAUUAGAUACCCCUGUAGUCC
rnacentral:rRNA from 1 species